rnacentral:tRNA from 1 species
GGGUCGUUAGCUCAGAGGUAGAGCAGGAGACUUUUAAUCUCUUGGUCGAAGGUUCGAUCCCUUCACGACCCACCA